UCAUCCUACAUAUUGAUAAAACAAUUGAUGAGAAAUAUUUUACGCUGUCAUAGAGUAAGAAUAGAAGUCACAGUAACAGGCAUAACAACUAUGUAUAAAUAAUUAUGUCAUUAUGUCAAAAUAUAGGAAAUAUUUAUAUCUAAAGUUGUGAAGAAACAGAAUUUGGUUCAACUUAGUUAAAAAUGUAAAUAUUAACUAUAUUCCAAAUAGAAUGUUAUUACUUGGAAUCUCAUCAUAAAGAAAAUAUAUCUUACAGUCUAGGAAUUCCAUCCAGUAGAAGCACCAAAGAUGAUGAUAAGUAUAUACAAUUCUGAUUAAAAUUUAUGUAAGUGAGAUGAAAUAGUAAGAUUUGUAAUUUGUGGAAAUGAACCAUAUUUCUAAGCAUUCUCACCCAUUCCAAUGACAGGAAUGUCAGAAUGCCUUGUGAAGGGCCUGGAAAAGAGGAGAGGAGGGGAGGGAGAUUGGCCACAAAGGAUUUGACUGUUUCUCUUUCCCACACUCACUGUAGCACCUUUUUAAAAAACACAGAUUGUUUAGAUGUUCGGUACACUUGAAAUAUUUAUGUGGGCUAGGGACAAUUUGAAUUCUAGUUUGGAAGGCAUUUGAGUGUGGAACCUUGGAGUAAAGCAAGUGAUAAUUAGUGAAGAGAAGAAAGAGGUGGACAUUUUCAGCAGAGCAUGCGGCCUAUGAACAGAUCUUGAGUCAGGGAAUGUGGAACGUCAGAGACAUAGCUAACACAUACACCUCCUUCAUGUCUGUCUUUCUGCUUCAGCCUCACCCUGGCAGGCACUUGUAAUAUAAAAUAGGAGAAAUAUUAUUAAUAAAGAGAAUUCUUUACCAUAUGGAUGUACUUUGAAGAAGAAUAUAAAAAUACCUAGUGCCUUCCUAAAAUUAAGCAAGAAAAUUUUGUUUUCUUUGUAUGCUUGUUAUAGUUCUCAGAGAAGGAGAUGUUGGCAGGGUGGUGACAGGAGGAAGAAUGAGAGAAGUACAAAAAUGUAAGGAGCAAGCAGGGUCAGGGCACUACUUACCACUCCUUGUUAAGUAAAAACUGAACAGUAAUUGAAGAAAAUAGUAAUAGCAGGGGCAGUAGUAGCAGUAUAAGUAAUGAUAAGAAAAACAGAAAUAACAAUGACUUCUUUUCAUUAUUUAUAUGUUUUAGAUGUUUUCAAUAGACGACCUCACUCUAAUAAACUCUAUUGAACACCACUCUAUUGAACACCACCAACCCUAUCAACAUGCUGAGAUUCUUUACAGAAUCCAUGGACCAAAAUGAUAAUCGCAAGGGAGUAUGAAUUAUAUUCUACGAAAAAAGGUAAAGGCUAUUUUUGUUCUUUGGAAGGACUCAGAGAAUAAAAGUCAUGAAAUAUGGACCCUUGAAAACAGAGUUGUUCAAAAGAGAAACUGAAAAGCUAAAAUCGAUCCAGUGAUCCUAAUGUUUACCAAGGGUUAAUCAACUUGGCACACCAUAUAUGUUCAAUAAAAAUCAGCCUUAUUUUCUUUUUCUAAA